CAGUCGCCGCGGUAAAACCAGCACCUCGAGUGGUCAGGAGGUUUAUUGGGCCUAAAGCAUCCGUAGCCGGUUGCAUAAGUUUUCGGUUAAAUCUAUGCGCUCAACGUAUAGGCCGCCGAAAAUACUGUGCAGCUAGGGAGUGGGAGAGGUACACGGUACUCAGUAGGAAGGGGUAAAAUCCUUUGAUCUAUUGAUGACCACCUGUGGCGAAGGCGGUGUACCAGAACACGUUCGACGGUGAGGGAUGAAAGCUGGGGGAGCAAACCGGAUUAGAUACCCGCGUAGUCCCUGUCUCUUAUAC
rnacentral:rRNA from 1 species